rnacentral:misc_RNA from 1 species
GUUGAAGAACGCAGCGAACGUGCGAAACGUAAUGUGAAUUGCAGAAUUCAGUGAAUCAUCGAAUCUUUGAACGCAUCUUGCGCUCCUUGGUAUUCCGAGGAGCAUGCCUGUUUGAGUGUCGUGAAAUACUCUCAAUUUCAAUCUUUCUUUUGGGAGGUUGGAAUUGGAAUUGGGUGUUGUUGUGUUCACAACUCAUCCUAAAUGCAUUAGCGAUCUGCCUUUGAUCACACACAAUGUGAUAAGAAAACGCAUUGUUAGGCAUCAAGUCAGGGUUGCUUCGAACCGUCCUUUCGGACCAUCAUUCUUAUGUCGUUUGACCUCAGAUCAGGCAGGACUACCCGCUGAACUUAAGCAUAUCAAUAAGCGGAGGA